CAGUUUACUGCUCUCGCUAUUAGAUGAGCCUAAGUCGGAUUAGCUAGAUGGUGGGGUAAAGGCCUACCAUGGCGACGAUCUGUAGCUGGUCUGAGAGGAUGAUCAGCCACACCGGGACUGAGACACGGCCCGGACUCCUACGGGAGGCAGCAGUGGGGAAUAUUGGACAAUGGGGGAAACCCUGAUCCAGCCAUGCCGCGUGUGUGAAGAAGGCCUUUUGGUUGUAAAGCACUUUAAGCAGUGAAGAAGACUCCAUGGUUAAUACCCAUGGACGAUGACAUUAGCUGCAGAAUAAGCACCGGCUAACUCUGUGCCAGCAGCCGCGGUAAUACAGAGGGUGCAAGCGUUAAUCGGAAUUACUGGGCGUAAAGGGAGCGUAGGUGGCUCUAUAAGUCAGAUGUGAAAUCCCCGGGCUUAACCUGGGAACUGCAUCUGAAACUGUAGAGCUAGAGUAUGUGAGAGGAAGGUAGAAUUCCAGGUGUAGCGGUGAAAUGCGUAGAGAUCUGGAGGAAUACCGAUGGCGAAGGCAGCCUUCUGGCAUAAUACUGACACUGAGGCUCGAAAGCGUGGGUAGCAAACAGGAUUAGAUACCCUGGUAGUCCACGCCGUAAACGAUGUCUACUAGUCGUUGGGUCCCUUGAGGACUUAGUGACGCAGCUAACGCAAUAAGUAGACCGCCUGGGGAGUACGGCCGCAAGGUUAAAACUCAAAUGAAUUGACGGGGGCCCGCACAAGCGGUGGAGCAUGUGGUUUAAUUCGAUGCAACGCGAAGAACCUUACCUGGUCUUGACAUAUCUAGAAUCCUGCAGAGAUGCGGGAGUGCCUUCGGGAAUUAGAAUACAGGUGCUGCAUGGCUGUCGUCAGCUCGUGUCGUGAGAUGUUGGGUUAAGUCCCGCAACGAGCGCAACCCUUGUCCUUAGUUACCAGCGGGUUAAGCCGGGAACUCUAAGGAUACUGCCAGUGACAAACUGGAGGAAGGCGGGGACGACGUCAAGUCAUCAUGGCCCUUACGACCAGGGCUACACACGUGCUACAAUGGUAGGUACAGAGGGCAGCUACACAGCGAUGUGAUGCGAAUCUCAAAAAGCCUAUCGUAGUCCAGAUUGGAGUCUGCAACUCGACUCCAUGAAGUAGGAAUCGCUAGUAAUCGCGGAUCAGAAUGCCGCGGUGAAUACGUUCCCGGGCCUUGUACACACCGCCCGUCACACCAUGGGAGUUGAUUGCACCAGAAGUGGAUAGCUUA
rnacentral:rRNA from 1 species